rnacentral:lncRNA from 1 species
GAAAUGAAAGCCCGGAAACCCCGGAACUAGAACUGGUAUCUCUUCAACUACCUGUGAAAACUGAUGUGAUGAAAAGGGGAAUUUGAAGGAGCCAUUCCAGAAGACAGGGCGAAAACUGAAGUGCAAUCAGGGCCAAGAAAAACAGAAAUAGCAGGACCUGGAGUUGCAUAGGUUGAAUAGUUGAAUAGGCUGCUCUCCUCAGCUGGCAGGAAACCUGGCAGCCUCCUGGUGCCCAAGGACUGAAAACCUUAGAAGCACCUGGAGUUGGCAGCCUUGGCAUGGUCAGGUUGGCACCUCUGGAGGUGCCCAGGCUUCCCUGGCAGCAUUGUGAGCAGUGGAUGGUGUUGAAGGGCAGCCAGAGGAGGAAUGGAACACAUGCUCCUUGCUAACCACACGGACAAGGCCACGUUCACAGGUACACAAAGGCAACGCAGUUGCUCAGGUGCUUCGGUAUCACAGCCAAGACCCCUUCGGGGGAAGCUAGUCGGAUACUGGGACCCACAUUCCAGACUACUGAGCCGCGGUCGCGCCCUCGGCUCCGUUUCUGCUCCCUCCACCCCACGAGGACGGGGGUGGAAGGCCACCUUCGAUGGGUGCAUCCUCCACGAUGACCUGCUAACAAAGGUGCAUGGAUUUCAGAGUCUGAUUGGCCUACAACAGCAUUUGGCUUGUGGAGACAGUGGUUCCCUGAUGAAAAACUGCCAUGAUUGCCCAGACCCCCCUUCUCCUGAACAUGAAUGCCUGUCCAUGGAAAUUCGAGUCUCUCUCUCUCACCCAGGCUGGAGUGCAGUGAUGCAAUCUCAACUCACUGCAACCUCUGCCUCCCAGGUUCAAGUGAUUCUUGUGCCUCAGCCUCUGGAGUAUCUAGGAUCACAGGUGCGUGCCACCAUGUCUGGCUAAUGUUUUGUAUUUAUAGUAGAGAUGGGUUUCGACAUAUUGGCCAGGCUGGUCUUGAUCUCCUGGCCUCAAAGUGAUCUACCCACCUGGGCCUCCCAAAUUGCUGGGAUUACAGUUGUGAGCCACCACACCCAGCCUGUCCCUGAAAUUCUAAUGAAAUGUGCGAUAAAGUUGUUUUGUUUUUCUUUUUGUUUUCCCUUCUUGGCAAAGCCUGGUGUUUCUAUUUUAGUGGAUUUGCCUGGCACUGAGGACUGCUAUGGUGGUCUUCAGAGGCUCCUGGUAUUGACUGCUUGUGAAACCGCUUUUGCAAAAUUAUGACUGAGACAGUGAAAGAGAUCUAACUUAACCGACCCAAUCUUGCUUCUAACCUCCAAAUUGUCCUUAUUCAUUCCUGAGCAUAGCCUGAACUAACUUUGGGAGAAGCUUAGUUUAUAUUUUAUUUUAUAGUUUAAAACAAAGAUGUUAACAGCCCUUUCCCAAGGCAGACUUCCUUCUUGCCUGGGGACUAGGUUGCCUUUGGAGGACUAACAUUAGCCACGAGAUUAGAAAUUAUGGGCUGGGCCUCGUGGCUCACCCCUGUAAUCCCAGCACUUUGGGAGGCCACGGCAGGUAGAUCACCUGAGGUCAGGAGUUCAAGACCAGCCUGGCCAACGUGGUGAAACCCCAUCUCUACUAAAGAAUACAAAAAUUAGCCGGUUAUGGUGGCACAUGCCUAUACUGCCAGCUACUUGGGAAGCUGAGGUGGGAGGAUCGCUUGAACCUGGGAGGCGGCGUGGAGGUUGCAGUGAGCCAGGAUCUUGCCACUGCACUCCAGCUUGGGCGACAGAGUGAGACUCUGUCUCAAAAAAAAAAAGUUUAGAAAUUAUGCUUUAGGAGUCAUGCAGCUGGAGGCUACAAGAUUCUGACCCUCCCUAAACUGCUCCUAAGAUCAGUGCUUGAGAUAUUUUGCAGACCCUGCACUUGAUGGAUCAGCUGGCACCACCCAGACUGAUUAACUGGCUCAUGUGAUCUUGUGGUCCCCACCCAGGAACUUAAUCAGCACAAGGAGACAGCUUCAACUCCCUAUGAUUUCAUCCCUGACCAAUCAGCACUCCUGGGCUCACUGGCUUCCCCCUACCCACCAAGUUGUCCUUAAAAAGUCUGCUCCCCAAAUGCUCGGGUAGACUGAUUUGGGUAAUAAUAAAACUCCGGUCUCCCACACAGCCAGCCCUGCGUGAAUUACUCUUUCUUUUUUGAGAUGGAGUUUCACUUUCGUUGCCCAGGCUGGAGUGCAAUGGCAGGAUCUUGGCUCACAGCAUCCUCCGCCUCUCAGGUUCAAGCGAUUCUCCUGCCUCAGCCUCCCCAAUAGCUGGGAUUAUAGGCACGUGCCACCACGCCCGGCUAAUUUUUGGUAUUUUUAGUACAGACAGGGUUUCACUGUGUUGGCCAGGUUGGUCUCAAACUCCUGACCUUAGGUGAUUCACCUGCCUUGGCCUCCCAAAGUGCUGGGAUUACAGGUGUGAGCCACUGCACCCAGCCAAAUUACUCUUUCUCUAUUGCAAUUCCCCUGUUCUGAUGAAUCAGCUCUGUUUAGGCAGCAGGCAAGGAGAACCCCCUGGGCAUUAUACUUGGACAGAGGUGACAUCCCCCAGGUAGUGAGUGCAAAGAACUAAUGCUGCAGCUGUCUUCCAUGUAUCUGCCACUCACUGUAGAAUGACCCUGAAGUUCUGCAUUUCUGCUCUGUGUGGGUCAGGCACAAGAAGCUUCAUCUCUUAUCCCGUGUCUGAUUCCUGAAACCUUGCUCAUUUUCCUGCUGUCCUCCCUAUUCCCAGCCUCCUUUCUUCUUUCGCUUUAUCCUCCACUAAGGACAUUGAUUGCUUUCCUUUCUCUGUUGGUUCUCCCCACCCCUCAUUCCAUUGUGCCUUGUACCCAUACUGCCCACUACCUCCCUUUAUUGCUGUCAUCUGUCCUGGUGGCCAGUCACACUCAUGCCAACACUUACUUAUUCCUUGAAGGUUUUAGCUCCUGGCUCACUUUCCAACAUAACUCCUGUCAUCAGUUGACACCCAGUUCCCCAGUUCCUUGACCUAGGCCUUACGUACCCCAGCCACUCACUUCCCUGGUCUAAGUCUAGAUCUUGUCAUUGCUGAUGCCAUAACGCCAUCCACCAUCCACUUCCAGGGUCACACUCUCCAAUCACCUUCUACCACCCCUCCCUCUGUUACUCUGUGGUACAUGUUACUCCACUUCCCCACUGCCCAUCCCCUUUCAUGUUUCUUUCCUCUUUAAUUCUUACACCUCUUUUUUUUUUUUUUUUUUUUUGAGAGAGUCUCAAUCUGUCACCCAGGCUGCAGUGCAGUGGCACAAUCCUCUCACUGCAACCUCCGCCUCUCAGAUUCAAGCGAUUCUCCUGCCUCAGCCUCCUGAGUAGCUG